rnacentral:rRNA from 1 species
CGAGUGAAGCGGCAACAGCUCAAAUUUGAAAUCUGGCCCCCUCGGGGCCCGAGUUGUAAUUUGUAGAGGGUGCUUUGGCGUUGGCCCCGGCCUAAGUCCCUUGGAACAGGGCGUCACAGAGGGUGAGAAUCCCGUACGUGGCCGACCGCCUUCGCCGUGUAAAGCCCCUUCGACGAGUCGAGUUGUUUGGGAAUGCAGCUCUAAAUGGGAGGUAAAUUUCUUCUAAAGCUAAAUACUGGCCAGAGACCGAUAGCGCACAAGUAGAGUGAUCGAAAGAUGAAAAGCACUUUGGAAAGAGAGUCAAAAAGCACGUGAAAUUGUUGAAAGGGAAGCGCUUGCAGCCAGACUUGCCUGUAGUUGCUCAUCCGGGCUCCUGCCCGGUGCACUCUUCUGCUGGCAGGCCAGCAUCAGUUUGGGCGGCCGGAUAAAGGUCCCGGGAACGUAGCUCCCCUCGGGGAGUGUUAUAGCCCGGGGCGUCAUGCGGCCAGCCUGGACUGAGGUCCGCGCGUCUGCUAGGAUGCUGGCGUAAUGGCUGUAAGCGGCCCGUCUUGAAACACGGACCAAGGAGUCUAACAUCUAUGCGAGUGUUUGGGUGUCAAGCCCGGGCGCGUAAUGAAAGUGAACGGAGGUGGGAACCCUCCGGGGUGCACCAUCGACCGAUCCUGAUGUCUUCGGAUGGAUUUGAGUAAGAGCAUAGCUGUUGGGACCCGAAAGAUGGUGAACUAUGCCUGAAUAGGGUGAAGCCAGAGGAAACUCUGGUGGAGGCUCGCAGCGGUUCUGACGUGCAAAUCGAUCGUCAAAUUUGGGCAUAGGGGCGAAAGACUAAUCGAACUAUCUAGUAGCUGGUUCCUGCCGAAGUUUCCCUCAGGAUAGCAGUAACGUUUUCAGUUUUAUGAGGUAAAGCGAAUGAUUAGAGGCCUGGGGGUUGAAACAACCUUCACCUAUUCUCAAACUUUAAAUAUGUAAGAAGUCCUUGUUACUUAAUUGAACGUGGACAUUUGAAUGCACCGUUACUAGUGGGCCAUUUUUGGUAAGCAGAACUGGCGAUGCGGGAUGAACCGAACGCGGGGUUAAGGUGCCAGAAUGCACGCUCAUCAGACACCACAAAAGGUGUUAGUUCAUCUAGACAGCAGGACGGUGGCCAUGGAAGUCGGAAUCCGCUAAGGAGUGUGUAACAACUCACCUGCCGAAUGAACUAGCCCUGAAAAUGGAUGGCGCUCAAGCGUGCUACCCAUACCCCGCCGCCAGGGCAGAAUCUAUGCCCUGGCGAGUAGGCAGGCGU